GCCAAGAGAAAACAGAUGUCUCCAUGUCACACGCAGAGUACUCAUUUGGGCUGUUCCAGAGUCUGGAGGAACAGCUUUGGACGUGAACAGUAAACAUAAACAAGAAGCAGCGGUGGCCCUGGAGCCCCACGGUGGGACUGUCCCACACCUGUAGAAUCUAGCUGCUGAGAGCUCUUGCAAGCUGCCUAUGCACCUGGGAGGGAGCCAAGAGCAUGCCCUCCUUUGGAGCAACUGGAUAAGGCCUUCUUGAAUCCCACUUGAUUUCCCACAUACAGAGAGAAGGAGGCUUGGAGAAGCUAUGUCUGCACAGCUUGAAAAAGUGAUGGAUGGAGAUAGACCGUCUCGCUCAGCCUACCCAAAACCUGCACAUGAAAAUCUUUGGUGCCUGGGAUGUGAGUGACUGGUGCUGGGCUACUGUACCAGUGACGUGAGGAAAAACCAAGAGAAGUGCAAAAACCUGAGUUCUGAGCUGUGGAGGCAAUGCUGGGGAGCCUUUGUCUCCUGUUAUGGGAAGAACAGAAAUACAGGAUUUGUUUAUAUCAG